rnacentral:rRNA from 1 species
AUGGCAUCGGAGGACGUGGUGGGGAAGAGCAGGGGCGGCACGGCCAUCAACACCAUCGUCAACCUGGCUGAGGAGGCCAAGCUCGCGCGCGAGGGCGUCAAGGGCCCCGGCCACCAGGUCCUCACCGUCUGCAAGUCCCUCUUCGCCGGAGGCGUCGCCGGCGGCCUUUCAUUGAUGACAGCCAAGGGUUCAUGCUCGGAAACGACUACAUCUUGCUCUACGUUGUCGGCUCAGCUAGAGUCCUUAAUCAUGAGGAGAUGGGACACGUCGAUUGUUAGAGUACACUUGACAGGUGCACUUUGUGAAAUUCUAGCCAGAAGAUUGAUAGCAUGCUUGCCUGCUUGUUCUUUUCAGUUCAAAUAA